GACUACAUACACAUAAGAAAAAAGUCAAUACGAAAGGGCUUCUAACAAGUAAACAGCUGUUCUUCAUCUCUCAGACCUCUACAUCCAAUUCUCUUGUGGCUUCCUUCGACUUUUGUCAUUAAAAGCUGGCCAAUACAGGAAUCCAACCCUGGAGCUUGAUGUUAUCAGCGCCACACUCUGACCAGCCCAGCUAACUGGCCAGCCUCUCAGAAUAAGAUAUUGUAUGUCUUACAGUUAAAAACUGAAAUCAUUUGAGCAGUUUUCAGCAUGACCUGUUAAUUUUGAAUGUAGGGAAUAUACAAAGUAGGUAAAUACAUGUACUCAUAAAUGCUGUAUAAUGUAACUCUAUAUAAAAUUCACAGUUAGAUGCAUUUGAUGAUGCAAAACAAAAAAAGUACUUUUAGAGGGCUUCUUAUUUAAAAACACAGUAAAAGUAAUAUUCACAUGCAUUAAACAUUGCAAACCAUC